CAAUCUAUAGCUCAGUGGCUGAGCGUCUGUCUCGUAUACAGAAGGUGCGCGGUGCAAUCCCGUGUGGAGUCA
rfam:Necator americanus N_americanus-1.0_Cont862.21, whole genome shotgun sequence.